AUUGAACGCUGGCGGCAGGCCUAACACAUGCAAGUCGAGCGGAUGAGAAGAGCUUGCUCUUCGAUUCAGCGGCGGACGGGUGAGUAAUGCCUAGGAAUCUGCCUGGUAGUGGGGGACAACGUUUCGAAAGGAACGCUAAUACCGCAUACGUCCUACGGGAGAAAGCAGGGGACCUUCGGGCCUUGCGCUAUCAGAUGAGCCUAGGUCGGAUUAGCUAGUUGGUGAGGUAAUGGCUCACCAAGGCGACGAUCCGUAACUGGUCUGAGAGGAUGAUCAGUCACACUGGAACUGAGACACGUUCCAGACUCCUACGGGAGGCAGCAGUGGGGAAUAUUGGACAAUGGGCGAAAGCCUGAUCCAGCCAUGCCGCGUGUGUGAAGAAGGUCUUCGGAUUGUAAAGCACUUUAAGUUGGGAGGAAGGGCAGAAAGUUAAUACCUUGAUGUUUUGACGUUACCGACAGAAUAAGCACCGGCUAACUCUGUGCCAGCCGCCGCGGUAACAC
rnacentral:rRNA from 1 species